AGAUCACCUGUGCUAUAGGCAUUAAUCGCUGUUAUAGGGAUUAGUUGUGCUUAACGAACCUGGUGACCAUCUCCUGAAGGUUCCUCUGAAGAGCUGGUGGUUUUGUUUAAGGUUGGUCACUUAUUUGAAAGUUGUUGACUAUAUCCAGCGAAAUAGCGCUACUGUCGUUGCCGUGAUGAUAUGGCUGCAUGAGACAUGAACGUACUCUCCAAGUAACGUUCCUGCUUGGCACAACUGCACUAAGACUCCAGAAACCAGGAUUCCUGCAUUUCCACAUUAAUUGCCUCUUCAGCUUAUGUAUGGUAUAUUGCUGAUGAAAAUGUGAGUUCACAGAAGUCUGAACGUGAAGUCCAUAUUGUUAUAUGAAGUUAUAUUGCUAUAAAGCACCCACUGCUGUAUGCUCAAGAUCCACAGCAACACUCAAGUGCUUCUCAUCCAUUGAAAAAUUCACACACAACACUGAAGAAAUCAAGUAAAGAGAACAUUGAGAGCAAAAAAGGAAAUAAGAGGAGAGGGAGAAGUUGUGGAAAGUGUGCUCCUGUGCAUCCCAGCUCCCUGGAGAGGUGGUUGCUUUGUGCCAGUUCCUGAGUUUUUACACUCUCAUGGACUAUUGAUUGAUUAAUCAGUGUUAUGAGACAUCCCUCUUAAAUAAGUAUGCAAUGCAGGCAAGGCGGUUCACAUAUUCUAAUUUUUGUCUGAGCAAUAGUAGGCUGGAAACAAAUAGGAAAAGUCACUGGAUUGUGUAGCUGUAGGAUUGCGAGACCUCAAACACUGCCGUUGAGAUGACCAGGCAUGUGUUGUGUGCCUCAGGGUCAUGAAAUAGGA